GUCUCAAUAGCUCAGUGGUUAGAGCACUAGUACAAUACGCCAGAGGCCCUGAGUUCUAGUCCCAGUUGAGACU
rnacentral:tRNA from 1 species